AGAAGAGUGAAGGUUCAGUGGAAGUUGCAGAAAUAAAUAGUGCAGCUCCUCAAGACCAACAGAGGUUUCCCGUGUCUUGUUUCCCAGCAGCUGAGUGAAGUGACGGGGGUUAACUCUGGAGUGAGUAACUUUAUCGACUCUGGCCCAAGCAGGAAAAGUUAUCACAGUGGUU